rnacentral:rRNA from 1 species
UACGAAGGGGGCUAGCGUUGCUCGGAAUCACUGGGCGUAAAGCGCACGUAGGCGGAUUGUUAAGUCAGGGGUGAAAUCCUGGAGCUCGACUCCAGAACUGCCUUUGAUACUGGCGAUCUUGAGUCCGGGAGAGGUGAGUGGAACUGCGAGUGUAGAGGUGAAAUUCGUAGAUAUUCGCAAGAACACCAGUGGCGAAGGCGGACUCACUGGCCCGGUACUGACGCUGAGGUGCGAAAGCGUGGGG